GACGAACGCUGCGGCUUCCUAAUACAUGCAAGUCGAGCGAAGUUUUUUUGGUGCUUGCACUAGAAAAACUUAGCGGCGAACGGGUGAGUAACACGUAAAGAACUGCUCAUAGACUGGGACAACUAUUGGAAACGGUAGCUAAUACCGGAUAACAGCAUUAACUCAUGGUUGAUGUAAAAGUUGGUUUGCUAACACUUGAGUGGCUUUGCGGUCAUUAGCUAGUUGGUGGUAAAGGCCUACCAAGGCGACGAUGCAUAGCCGACCUGAGAGGUGUCGGCCACACUGGGACUGAGACACGGCCCAGACUCCUACGGGAGGCAGCAGUAGGGAAUCUUCCGCAAUGGGCGAAAGCCUGACGGAGCAACGCCGCGUGAGUGAAGAAGGAUCGGUUCGUAAAGCUCUGUUGUUGGGAAGAAUGAUUGUUGUAACUAUACACAGUAGAGACGGUACCUAACCAGAAA
rnacentral:rRNA from 1 species